rnacentral:rRNA from 1 species
UACGGAGGAUGCGAGCGUUAUCCGGAUUUAUUGGGUUUAAAGGGUGCGUAGGCGGAUUUUUAAGUCAGCGGUAAAAUGUCCGGGCUCAACCCGGGCCGGCCGUUGAAACUGACGGUCUUGAGUGGGCGAGAAGUAUGCGGAAUGCGUGGUGUAGCGGUGAAAUGCAUAGAUAUCGCGCAGAACCCCGAUUGCGAAGGCAGCAUACCGGUGCACAACUGACGCUCAGGCACGAAAGUGUGGGUAUCAAACAGG